CAAUGACCUGCCAUUGAGAUGUGCCUGAACUAAUUACCUUCAGUCUGGUGUUUCUUGGCUCUAGAACAGUAGUUCUUAACCUUGAGUCCCUGAAGCCUUUACCACUAGCUCUGCUGGCCAGGAUUUCUGGGAGUUGUAGUCCAAGAGCAUUUGGGGACCGGUGCUCUGGAAGGUAGAUCUGUGGAAGGAGUAUAAUCUGACAUGCAUAUCUUCUUCCUACCUGAAAGAGAAGGGUGAUGGCGUGAGAGGAUGACUCCACAGGGGGAACAAGGGGACAGAAAUGGGGCAGCUAUCAAGCUGGAGAUGCAGAAGGGUUGCACCGGAUGAUGGGAGAGAAAACACUUAAGUGGAAAACAAAUUUGGGAAACAAAUAAUUAGUAAGCAGUACUUGGCGUAACCCUUUCAGUCUCAUUUGUGCCGAACGUUUGUAUGUAUUCUGACCUGUUAUGACAAUGGCAGAGUAGCAUCAUGCCACACCUACUGAACACCUUUUAGAGGUGCUGGGUCACAGAUUGUGCCAGAGCUAGGAAAAUUACUUUUAAAAAGUAAGUACUUACACUUGUAUUUCCACCCCACUCUCAAGGCAGCCAGUUUCUGUGAUGGCCACACCUUUUUAAAAAAAAAACACCAAAAACAAUAUGUUUUACUUCCCCAAUUGUCA
rnacentral:lncRNA from 1 species